rnacentral:rRNA from 1 species
AGGACGAACGCUGGCGGCGUGCUUAACACAUGCAAGUCGAGCGGAAAGGCCCUUCGGGGUACUCGAGCGGCGAACGGGUGAGUAACACGUGAGCAACCUGCCCCUGGCUCUGGGAUAGCCUCCGGAAACGGGGAUUAAUACCGGACAUUCACUUCCUUCCGCAUGGUUGGUGGUGGAAAGUUUUUCGGCCGGGGAGGGGCUCGCGGUCUAUCAGCUUGUUGGCGGGGUAACGGCCCACCAGGCGACGACGGAUAG